GGAGCAUCAGACGAGCCUGGUGUCGUCCGAGGACGGCACCCGGGAGCAGGAGAACAUGGAUGACGCCAACAGCGAGCAGCAGUUCAGAGUCUUCAGGGACUUCGACUUCCUGGACGUGGAACUGGAGGACGGGGAGGAACUUCAGGUAAGACACUGUUACUCUUACUUGAUCCUGGCGCUCAGGGAGGUGCACUGUAUCAUUGCUGUAUCAUUGUAUCUCGUAUCUAUAACAACCAGAGCGCUUACCUCCCCUCCAGCACGUCUGCCUACCUGUGUGUCGACUUCUACCUAAGUAUGUGAUAGAAGAGGGGUUUUGGAGGGGAGGGGUUUGUUUGUUGUUUUUGAUUUGGUUUGGUUUUUGCCCUCCCCCCACCCCUUGGCUGCUCUAGUAUGGAAAUAUCUUCUAAAAUAUAAAAGUGCUUUAUUACCCUU
rnacentral:lncRNA from 1 species